CCUACGGGAGGCUGCAGUGAGGAAUAUUGGUCAAUGGGCGGGAGCCUGAACCAGCCAUGCCGCGUGAAGGUCAGUGCCCUAUGGGCGUUAAACUUCUUUUGUGCGGGAGCAAUAAUGGUCACGUGUGGCCAGACGAGAGUACCGUACGAAUAAGCAUCGGCUAACUCCGGGCCAGCAGCCGCGGUAAUACGGGGGAUGCAAGCGUUAUCCGGAUUUAUUGGGUUUAAAGGGUGCGUAGGCUGGGAGGUAAGUCAGCGGUGAAAUGCCCCCGCUCAACGGGGUGAAGUGCCAUUGAUACUGCCGUGCUGGAAUGCGGAUGCCGUGGGAGGAAUGUGUGGUGAAGCGGUGAAAUGCAUAGAUAUCACACAGAACACCGAUUGCGAAGGCAGCUCACGAAUCCGCGAUUGACGCUGAUGCACGAAAGCGUGGGUAUCAAACAGGAUUAGAUACCCCUGUAGUC
rnacentral:rRNA from 1 species